UACGUAGGGUGCAAGCGUUGUCCGGAAUUAUUGGGCGUAAAGAGCUCGUAGGCGGUCUGUCGCGUCGGCUGUGAAAACCCGGGGCUCAACCCCGGGCCUGCAGUCGAUACGGGCAGACUAGAGUGCGGUAGGGGAGACUGGAAUUCCUGGUGUAGCGGUGAAAUGCGCAGAUAUCAGGAGGAACACCGGUGGCGAAGGCGGGUCUCUGGGCCGUAACUGACGCUGAGGAGCGAAAGCGUGGGGAGCGAACAGG
rnacentral:rRNA from 1 species